rnacentral:rRNA from 1 species
AGCCUACGGGACGCAGCAGUGAGGAAUAUUGGUCAAUGGGCGAGAGCCUGAACCAGCCAAGUCGCGUGAAGGAUGACGGCCCUACGGGUUGUAAACUUCUUUUGUCAGGGAGCAAUUGGGUCCACGCGUGGGCUUAGCGAGAGUACCUGAAGAAAAAGCAUCGGCUAACUCCGUGCCAGCAGCCGCGGUAAUACGGAGGAUGCGAGCGUUAUCCGGAUUUAUUGGGUUUAAAGGGUGCGUAGGCGGAUUUUUAAGUCAGCGGUAAAAUGUCCGGGCUCAACCCGGGCCGGCCGUUGAAACUGGGG